AUCGCUUCUUGGCCUUUUGGCUAAGUGUAGUAUCUGAUGGUCCUCUAUCUGUAAAUUGGUUUUUGAGCAGGGAGAUGGAGUAGGACCUUGCUCCAUGCGCUCCACGCAUCAUUCUGGUACUGCAGUACCUCUGGGAAUGGUGUGCCUCCA
ensembl:snRNA U2 U2 spliceosomal RNA